rnacentral:rRNA from 1 species
GAGAGUUUGAUUAUGGCUCAGGAUGAACGCUGGCGGCGUGCCUAAUACAUGCAAGUCGAGCGAACAGACGAGGAGCUUGCUCCUCUGACGUUAGCGGCGGACGGGUGAGUAACACGUGGAUAACCUACCUAUAAGACUGGGAUAACUUCGGGAAACCGGAGCUAAUACCGGAUAAUAUAUUGAACCGCAUGGUUCAAUAGUGAAAGACGGUUUUGCUGUCACUUAUAGAUGGAUCCGCGCCGCAUUAGCUAGUUGGUAAGGUAACGGCUUACCAAGGCAACGAUGCGUAGCCGACCUGAGAGGGUGAUCGGCCACACUGGAACUGAGACACGGUCCAGACUCCUACGGGAGGCAGCAGUAGGGAAUCUUCCGCAAUGGGCGAAAGCUUGACGGAGCAACGCCGCGUGAGUGAUGAAGGUCUUCGGAUCGUAAAACUCUGUUAUUAGGGAAGAACAAAUGUGUAAGUAACUAUGCACGUCUUGACGGUACCUAAUCAGAAAGCCACGGCUAACUACGUGCCAGCAGCCGCGGUAAUACGUAGGUGGCAAGCGUUAUCCGGAAUUAUUGGGCGUAAAGCGCGCGUAGGCGGUUUUUUAAGUCUGAUGUGAAAGCCCACGGCUCAACCGUGGAGGGUCAUUGGAAACUGGAAAACUUGAGUGCAGAAGAGGAAAGUGGAAUUCCAUGUGUAGCGGUGAAAUGCGCAGAGAUAUGGAGGAACACCAGUGGCGAAGGCGACUUUCUGGUCUGUAACUGACGCUGAUGUGCGAAAGCGUGGGGAUCAAACAGGAUUAGAUACCCUGGUAGUCCACGCCGUAAACGAUGAGUGCUAAGUGUUAGGGGGUUUCCGCCCCUUAGUGCUGCAGCUAACGCAUUAAGCACUCCGCCUGGGGAGUACGACCGCAAGGUUAAAACUCAAAGGAAUUGACGGGGGCCCGCACAAGCAGUGGAGUAUGUGGUUUAAUUCGAAGCAACGCGAAGAACCUUACCAGGGCUUGACAUAUACAGGAAUAUAUAAGAGAUUAUAUAGCUCUACGGAGUCUGUAUACAGGUGGUGCAUGGUUGUCGUCAGCUCGUGUCGUGAGAUGUUGGGUUAAGUCCCGUAACGAGCGCAACCCCUAUGGCUAGUUGCUAACAUUAAGUUGAGGACUCUAGCAAGACUGCCGUUGUUAAAACGGAGGAAGGUGGGGACGACGUCAAAUCAUCAUGCCCUUUAUGUCCUGGGCUACACACGUACUACAAUGGGUAAGACAGAGGGAAGCGAAAGUGCGAACUGGAGCAAAACCCUAAACUUAUUCUCAGUUCGGAUUGGAGUCUGAAAUUCGGCUCUAUGAAGCUGGAAUUGCUAGUAAUGGCAGGUCAGCAUACUGCCGUGAAUACGUUCCCGGGCCUUGUACACACCGCCCGUCACACCAUGAGAGUUGGGAAUACCCGAAGCCUGUGAGCUAACUUUUUAAGAGGCAGCAGUCGAAGGUAGAAUCAAUGAUUGGGGUGAAGUCGUAACAAGGUAGCCGUAUCGGAAGGUGCGGCUGGAACACCU